GACGAGGGGUCCUAGCGUUGUUCGGAAUCGACUGGGCGUAAAGCGUUUGUAGGCGGCUCUAUAAGUCGGGUGUAGAAAUCCCGAUGGCUCAACCAUGGAAGUGCAUUCGAAACUGACAGAGCUUGAAUAUGGAAGAGGAGAGUAGAAUUCCUGGUGUAGUGGUGAAAUACGUAGAUAUCAGGAGGAAUACCAGUGGCGAAGGCGGCUCUCUGGUCCAAUAUUGACGCUGAGAAACGAAAGUGCGGGGAGUCAAACAGG
rnacentral:rRNA from 1 species